CCUACGGGUGGCAGCAGUGAGGAAUAUUGGUCAAUGGGCGCAAGCCUGAACCAGCCAAGCAGCGUGAAGGAUGAAUGCCCUAUGGGUUGUAAACUUCUUUUAUAUGGGAAUAAAGUGCAGUAUGUAUACCGCAUUGCAUGUACCUUAUGAAUAAGGAUCGGCUAACUCCGUGCCAGCAGCCGCGGUAAUACGGAGGAUCCGAGCGUUAUCCGGAUUUAUUGGGUUUAAAGGGCGCGUAGGCGGGUUGUUAAGUCAGGUGUGAAAGUUUGCGGCUCAACCGUAGAAUAGCAGUUGAUACUGGCAGCCUUGAGUACAGUAGAGGUAGGCGGAAUUCGCGGUGUAGCGGUGAAAUGCUUAGAUAUCACGAAGAACUCCGAUUGCGAAGGCAGCCUGCUGGACUGUAACUGACGCUGAUGCUCGAAAGUGUGGGUAUCAAACAGGAUUAGAUACCCCUGUAGUC
rnacentral:rRNA from 1 species